rnacentral:rRNA from 1 species
UACGGAGGAUGCGAGCGUUAUCCGGAUUUAUUGGGUUUAAAGGGUGCGUAGGCGGGCUUUUAAGUUAGCGGUAAAAAUUCGGGGCUCAACCCCGUCCGGCCGUUGAAACUGGGGGCCUUGAGUGGGCGAGAAGAAGGCGGAAUGCGUGGUGUAGCGGUGAAAUGCAUAGAUAUCGCGCAGAACCCCGAUUGCGAAGGCAGCCUUCCGGCGCCCUACUGACGCUGAGGCACGAAAGUGCGGGGAUCGAACAGG